CCCCUUUCCUAUCACUAGAAACAUCAGUUGCACCGCCUAUAACAGCGGCCAGAGAAGUUUUCCGCUGCCUGGGCCCAACAGCUGGAAGCAGGCAACCUUUGAAAUUAGAAGAGAAAUUAAGAUUUGGAGACGAACAUCUAAAGGAGAAGAGAGAAGGAGAUUGAGCUCGAAAGGCAGUUGAGGAAGAAGCUGUUACUGGCAAAAAGCAAGAAAUCUGGACAGUCGAAGAAGCUAAUUC
rnacentral:misc_RNA from 1 species